rnacentral:rRNA from 1 species
GACGAACCGUGCAAACGUUGUUCGGAAUCACUGGGCUUAAAGGGUGCGUAGGCGGGUUCCCAAGUCGGUGGUGAAAUCUUUCGGCCCAACCGGAAAAGUGCCGCCGAUACUGGGAGUCUCGAGGAGGUAGGGGUCGAUGGAACUUCCGGUGGAGCGGUGAAAUGCGUAGAUAUCGGAAGGAACGCCGGUGGCGAAAGCGAUCGACUGGACCUCUUCUGACGCUGAGGCGCGAAAGCCAGGGGAGCAAAGCGGG